rnacentral:misc_RNA from 1 species
GAUGAAGAACGCAGCGAAAUGCGAUAAGUAAUGUGAAUUGCAGAAUUCAGUGAAUCAUCGAAUCUUUGAACGCACAUUGCGCCCCUUGGUAUUCCGAGGGGCAUGCCUGUUCGAGCGUCAUUACACCACUCAAGCUAUGCUUGGUAUUGGGUGCCGUCCUUAGUUGGGCGUGCCUUAAAGACCUCGGCGAGGCCUCACCGGCUUUAGGCGUAGUAGAAUUUAUUCGAACGUCUGUCAAAGGAGAGGACUUCUGCCGACUGAAACCUUUUAUUUUUCUAGGUUGACCUCGGAUCAGGUAGGGAUACCCGCUGAACUUAAGCAUAUCAAUAAGCGGAGGA